rnacentral:lncRNA from 1 species
GAGGGAGGGAGAGAACCUUGGAACCGUCACCCUCCUUUCUUGGAGGUUUACAGAAGGUGACAGAUUAUAGAGCUGCACAGAGUGCCCUCGGGUAUUGCCUUCCCCAUAUUGAAACUGGUCCAAAAAGAAGGUCCAUCUCCCCAUGCUCUCUUAGGAUAGCUGAGACAAUACCUUGUCGAGAGCAGAAGAAUAGACGGAUCACCUUCAUGUUCCCAGUACAAAAGAAUAUUU